rnacentral:rRNA from 1 species
UACGUAGGGGGCUAGCGUUGUCCGGAAUCAUUGGGCGUAAAGCGCGCGUAGGCGGCCCGGUAAGUCCGCUGUGAAAGUCAAAGGCUCAACCUUUGAAUGUCAGCGGAUACUGCCAGGCUAGAGUCCGGAAGAGGCGAGUGGAACUCCUGGUGUAGCGGUGGAAUGCGCAGAUAUCAGGAAGAACACCGACGGCGAAGGCAGCUCGCUGGGACGGUACUGACGCUGAGGCGCGAAAGCGUGGGGAGCGAACAGG